UCCGGCCAGUCCAGCCGCGUGUCCCCAAGCCCCACCACCUACCUCAUGUUCCGGGACAAGAGCUGCUCUCUCUGGCAGAACUCGCAGCAGUCCUCCGACAGAAGCAACCUCCCCCCUCUGCCCCUACCACGCCGCAGUGCCAUAAGCGUCACCGGCACUGCCCAGUCGUCGUGUCAGAGGCCACCAUCGUGGGCAUCUGCAAGACCAGGCAGAUCUGGCCCAACGAUGCGGAGGGCACCUUCCAUGGAGACGCAG
rnacentral:lncRNA from 1 species